rnacentral:sRNA from 1 species
AUUUAAGCACGACUCUGCAGAAGGAACAAAGCACCCUCCCCCUGGGCUCCUGGUUGCAGAGCUCCAAGUCCUCACACAGAUACACCUGUUUGAGAAGCAGCGGGCAAGAAAGACGCAAGCCCAGAGGUCCAUCCAAGCUGAGCAAUCGCGCUGACUCAAGAAGAAGCCUUUGGGACCAAGGAAACUUUCCCCUGAUCAUCAAGAAUCUUAAGAUAGAAGACUCAGAUACUUACAUCUGUGAAGUGGAGGACCAGAAGGAGGAGGUGCAAUUGCUAGUGUUCGGAUGUGAGUGGGGCAGGUGGGGAUGAGGAUACCUCCUGCCUGGUUCCCUUCCCCUCUACUCCCACCUCUGCACCAAAUCCAGCCUGAGCUGGUGAUACCGCAGCAGCCCCAAGAGGACCAGGCUGUCAAACUGGCCUCCAAAUCUCUAAAACCCUUCUUGAUCAGGUGGGGGAUGCUGGUGGGCGGAGGAGGGAAGAGGCCUUGGGAAAAGGAAAGAAAAGGGAAGGAGGCAAGGGAAGGAGGGAGAUAGACUGGGGAAGAGAGGAUGAGGGGAGAGGAGGAAAGAAGAGAGAGAGGAGGGGAGAGGGAAACCCUUUCUUGGCUGGGGGUGGGCAGCUGGGUGCUGGGAGGAAGGAGAUGUUGGGACGGGGACAAUGGAGAGAUGUUCUUGGUUUCCUGUCAUCUGCCCUUCUCCUUGGGGAUGGUAUGUGUGUGACACAGCUGGCCUUUCCCUCCACAGUGACUGCCAACUCUGACACCCACCUGCUUCAGGGGCAGAGCCUGACCCUGACCUUGGAGAGCCCCCCUGGUAGUAGCCCCUCAGUGCAAUGUAGGAGUCCAACGGGUAAAAACAUACAGGCGGGGAAGACCCUCUCCGUGUCUCAGCUGGAGCUCCAGGAUAGUGGCACCUGGACAUGCACCGUCUUGCAAGACCAGAAGAAGGUGGAGUUCAAAAUAGACAUCGUGGUGCUAGGUAAGGGAAGCCCCUCUUCCUGCAGUCUCCUUCCUGCCCCGGGGGCUGACAGCCCCUCCCUCUGCUCUGACUGCCCUG